GUCCUCACUUUGUCAGCAUAUAUACAAAAAUUGGAAUGAUACAGAAAAGAUUAUCAUGGCUCCUGUGCAAGGAUGACACACAAAUACAUGAAAUCAAAGAUGCUGAG
ensembl:snRNA U6 U6 spliceosomal RNA